GAUGAACGCUGGCGGCGUGCCUAAUACAUGCAAGUCGAGCGAACGGACGAGAAGCUUGCUUCUCUGAUGUUAGCGUCGGACGGGUGAGUAACACGUGGAUAACCUACCUAUAAUACUGGGAUAACUUCGGGAAACCGGAGCUAAUACCGUAUGAUAUUUUGAACCGCAUGGUUCAAAAGUGAAAGACGGUCUUGCUGUCACUUAUAGAGGGAUCCGCGCUGCAUUAGCUAGUUGGUAAGGUAACGGCUUACCAAGGCAACGAGGCAUAGCAGAACUGAGAGGGUGGUCGGCCACACUAGAACUGAGACACGGUCCAGACUCCUACGGGAGGCAGCAGUAGGGAAUCUUCCGCAAUGGGCGAAAGACUGACGGAGCAACGCCGCGUGAGUGAUGAAGGUCUUCGGAUCGUAAAACUCUGUUAUUAGGGAAGAACAUAUGUGUAAGUAAAUGUGCACAUAUUGACGGUACCUAAUCAGAAAGCAACGGCUAACUACGUG
rnacentral:rRNA from 1 species